rnacentral:rRNA from 1 species
AGCAGCCGCGGUAAUUCCAGCUCCAAUAGCGUAUAUUAAAGUUGCUGCAGUUAAAAAGCUCGUAGUUGAAUUUCGGGAUCAAUAUGUUGGUCGUGCCUUGGUACGUACUAGCUCAUUGGUUUCUCCCUUCUGACGAACCAUGAUGUCAUUAAUUUGAUGUCAUGGGGAAUCAGGACUGUUACUUUGAAAAAAUUAGAGUGUUUAAAGCAGGCUCGCGCUUGAAUACAUUAGCAUGGAAUAAUGAAAUAGGACAUUUGAUUCUAUUUUGUUGGUUUCUAGGAUCGAUGUAAUGAUUAAUAGGGAUAGUUGGGGGCAUUAGUAUUCAACUGUCAGAGGUGAAAUUCUUGGAUUUAUGAAGACUAACUACUGCGAAAGCAUUUGCCAAGGAUGUUUCAUUAAUCAAGAACGAAAGUUAGGGAUCGAA